rnacentral:rRNA from 1 species
AGAGCGAACGCUGGCGGCAGGCCUAAAACAUGCAAGUCGAACGCCCGUAGCAAUACGGGAGUGGCAGACGGGUGAGUAACACGUGGGAACGUGCCUUUUGGUCCGGAACAACACAGGGAAACUUGUGCUAAUACCGGAUAAGCCCUUACGGGGAAAGAUUUAUCGCCAAGAGAUCGGCCCGCGUCUGAUUAGCUAGUUGGUGAGGUAACGGCUCACCAAGGCUACGAUCAGUAGCUGGUCUGAGAGGAUGAUCAGCCACACUGGGACUGAGACACGGCCCAGACUCCUACGGGAGGCAGCAGUUAGGAAUCUUGGACAAUGGGCGCAAGCCUGAUCCAGCCAUGCCGCGUGAGUGAUGAAGGCCUUAGGUGUAAAGCUCUUUCAGCGGGAAGAUAAUGACGUACCCGCAGAAGAAGCCCGGACUAACGUUCGUAGCCAGCAGCCGC